rnacentral:rRNA from 1 species
AGUAACGGCGAGUGAAGCGGCAACAGCUCAAAUUUGAAAUCUGGCCUUUGGCCCGAGUUGUAAUUUGUAGAGGAUGCUUUUGGUGCGGUGCCUUCCGAGUUCCCUGGAACGGGACGCCUUAGAGGGUGAGAGCCCCGUACGGUUGGACGCCUAGCCUUUGUAAAGCUCCUUCGACGAGUCGAGUUGUUUGGGA